UAACUGAAGAGUUUGAUCAUGGCUCAGAUUGAACGCUGGCGGCAGGCUUAACACAUGCAAGUCGAGCGGGGGAAGGUAGCUUGCUACCGGACCUAGCGGCGGACGGGUGAGUAAUGCUUAGGAAUCUGCCUAUUAGUGGGGGACAACAUCUCGAAAGGGAUGCUAAUACCGCAUACGUCCUACGGGAGAAAGCAGGGGAUCUUCGGACCUUGCGCUAAUAGAUGAGCCUAAGUCGGAUUAGCUAGUUGGUGGGGUAAAGGCCUACCAAGGCGACGAUCUGUAGCGGGUCUGAGAGGAUGAUCCGCCACACUGGGACUGAGACACGGCCCAGACUCCUACGGGAGGCAGCAGUGGGGAAUAUUGGACAAUGGGGGGAACCCUGAUCCAGCCAUGCCGCGUGUGUGAAGAAGGCCUUAUGGUUGUAAAGCACUUUAAGCGAGGAGGAGGCUACUCUAGUUAAUACCUAGAGAUAGUGGACGUUACUCGCAGAAUAAGCACCGGCUAACUCUGUGCCAGCAGCCGCGGUAAUACAGAGGGUGCGAGCGUUAAUCGGAUUUACUGGGCGUAAAGCGUGCGUAGGCGGCUUAUUAAGUCGGAUGUGA
rnacentral:rRNA from 1 species